GUGGUGUUUGAAAUGUUGGUCAGAGUAUAGUGAAGAGGAAACAAGGAACCAGCUCAGGAGUUAGGAAGAACAGCAGUCCCUUCAGUGAACAGGUGAAGUCCUUGGUGGCUUCACAGGAAUCCACUACAUAGGAAGAUUCUGAAUAUCCACCAGUACCAUUGAGAGAGGAGCACAACUCAUCACAGAGACGACAUUAUAUGUCAGGAUGACAUCUGUGGCUGCUAAAGGUGAUAUAAAUGUUUCUUUUAGACUUAUUUCGGAUACACAAAGAUGGAAGCCAGAGGUAACUCCAAGCUCCUGGUAUCACUGAUGCUUCUUAGUGUCUUCUGCUCAGAAACACUGGCAUUACCUCUUGAAACACAUUCUGCCGUGAGCAAGGAAUCUAGCACAACCCAUUCACUAGAAAGUUGUCAAUCUGAUGCAAUCUUUACAGACAUGUACAGAAGAUACAAGGCUGUAGUAGUGGGCUGUGGAUGAAGCUGUCUAAGAAUAGCAUUUAUAUGGCACUUGAAAGUUUGCAAAGCACUUUCUGUGUUAUCUCAUUUGAUCCAUUAAUCCGGGGAUGCCCACUCUACGAAGCUUCCUGAGAUCACCCCAGCUGGAAGCAUAGUCUCCUCGUUAUGAAUUAUAGUAAUACAUAA